rnacentral:rRNA from 1 species
CAUCAUUUAAAGAAAGCGUAAUAGCUCACUGGUCGAGUCGGCCUGCGCGGAAGAUGUAACGGGGCUAAACCAUGCACCGAAGCUGCGGCAGCGACACUAUGUGUUGUUGGGUAGGGGAGCGUUCUGUAAGCCGUUGAAGGUGUCCUGUGAGGGGUGCUGGAGGUAUCAGAAGUGCGAAUGCUGACAUAAGUAACGAUAAAGCGGGUGAAAAGCCCGCUCGCCGGAAGACCAAGGGUUCCUGUCCAACGU